ensembl:lncRNA
UGUGUAGUGGUAGUGUGUGGUGAUGGUGUAGUGGUAGUGUGUGGUGUUGGUGAUGGUGUGUAGUGGUAGUGUGUGGGGAUGGUGUGUAGUGGUAGUGUGUGGUGAUGGUGUGUAGUGGUAGUGUGUGGUGAUGGUGUGUAGUGGUAGUGUGGGGUGAUGGUGAUAGUGUGUAGUGGUAGUGUGUGGUGAUGGUGAUAGUGUGUAGUGGUACUGUGUGGUGAUGGUGUGUAGUGGUAGUGUGUGGUGAUGGUAUGUAGUGGUAGUGUGUGGUGAUGUUGAUGGUGUGUAGUGGUAGUGUGUGGUGAUGGUGUGUAGUGGUAGUGUGUGGUGAUGGUGUGUAGUGGUAGUGUGUGGUGUUGGUGAUGGUGUGUAGUGGUAGUGUGUGGUGAUGUUGUGUAGUUGUUGUGUGUGGUGAUGUUGUGUAGUUGUAGUGUGUGGUGAUGGUGAAUGGUGUGUAUGUGUGGUGAUGGUGAUAGUGUGUAGUGGUAGUGUCUGGUGAUGGUGUGUAGUGGUAGUGUGUGGUGAUGGUGUGUAGUGGUAGUGUGUGGUGAUGGUGAUGGUGUGUAGUGGUAGUGUGUGGUGAUGGUGUGUAGUGGUAGUGUGUGGUGAUGGUGUGUAGUGGUAGUGUGUGGUGAUGGUGUGUAGUGGUAGUGUGUGGUGAUGGUGUGU